rnacentral:rRNA from 1 species
AACGAACGCUGGCGGCAGGCUUAACACAUGCAAGUCGAACGCCCCGCAAGGGGAGUGGCAGACGGGUGAGUAACGCGUGGGAACGUACCCUUUACUACGGAAUAGCUCCGGGAAACUGGAAUUAAUACCGUAUGUGCCCUUCGGGGGAAAGAUUUAUCGGUAAAGGAUCGGCCCGCGUUGGAUUAGCUAGUUGGUGGGGUAAAGGCCUACCAAGGCGACGAUCCAUAGCUGGUCUGAGAGGAUGAUCAGCCACAUUGGGACUGAGACACGGCCCAAACUCCUACGGGAGGCGGCAGUGGGGAAUAUUGGACAAUGGGCGCAAGCCUGAUCCAGCCAUGCCGCGUGAGUGAUGAAGGUCUUAGGAUUGUAAAGCUCUUUCACCGGGGAAGAUAAUGACGGUACCCGGAGAAGAAGCCCCGGCUAACUUCGUGCCAGCCGCCGCGGUAA